rnacentral:misc_RNA from 1 species
UAAUAAGUGUUUUAUGGCACUUUUUAAAUCCAUACCCACCUUGUGUGCAAUGUCAGUCGAUCUUCUUCAUGGAGAUCGACCAAACAUCAACCUUUAUCUUUUAACUCUUUGUCUUAAAAAUAUUAUGAAUAAACAAUUCAAAAUA